rnacentral:rRNA from 1 species
GAUGAACGCUGGCGGCGUGCCUAAUACAUGCAAGUCGAACGCUUCACUUCGGUGAAGAGUGGCGAACGGGUGAGUAAUACAUAAGUAACCUGGCAUCUACAGGGGGAUAACUGAUGGAAACGUCAGCUAAGACCGCAUAGGUGUAGAGAUCGCAUGAACUCUAUAUGAAAAGUGCUACGGGACUGGUAGAUGAUGGACUUAUGGCGCAUUAGCUUGUUGGUAGGGUAACGGCCUACCAAGGCGACGAUGCGUAGCCGACCUGAGAGGGUGACCGGCCACAUUGGACUGAGACACGGCCCAGACUCCUACGGGAGGCAGCAGUAGGGAAUUUUCGGCAAUGGGGGAAACCCUGACCGAGCAACGCCGCGUGAAGGAAGAAGUAAUUCGUUAUGUAAACUUCUGUCAUAGAGGAAGAACGGUGGAUAUAGGGAAUGAUAUCCAAGUGACGGUACUCUAUAAGAAAGCCACGGCUAACUACGUG